GAUGAACGCUGGCGGUAUGCCUAACACAUGCAAGUCGUACGGAAAAGAAAUUUUUAGUGGCGAACGGGUGAGUAACGCGUGAGAAUUUGCUUCUAGGUAGAGGAUAACCAAUAGAAAUAUUGGCUAAAACUCUAUAAUUCUAUUAAAAAAAUAGCUAAAAAAAGAAAUUUGCCUAGAAAAAAGCUCGCGUCUGAUUAGCCAGUUGGUAAGGGAAAGGCUUACCAAGGCGACGAUCAGUAGCUGAUUUGAGAGGAUGAUCAGCCACACUGGAACUGAGACACGGUCCAGACUCCUACGGGAGGCAGCAGUGAGGAAUUUUCUGCAAUGGGCGAAAGCCUGACAGAGCAAUACCGCGUGAGGGAAUAAGAAGGCCUAUGGGUUGUAAACCUCUUUUCUCAAAGAAGAAGAUCUGACGUUAUUUGAGGAAUAGGCAUCGGCUAACCCUGUGCCAGCAGCCGCAGUAAGAC
rnacentral:rRNA from 1 species